rnacentral:rRNA from 1 species
UAACGGCGAGUGAACCGGGAAGAGCUCAAAUUUGAAAUCUGGCGUGCUCAGUGCGUCCGAGUUGUAAUCUAUAGAGGCGUUUUCCGUGCCGGACUGUGUCUAAGUCCCUUGGAACAGGGUAUCAAAGAGGGUGAUAAUCCCGUACUUGACACAAUGACCGGUGCUCUGUGAUACGUCUUCUACGAGUCGAGUUGUUUGGGAAUGCAGCUCAAAAUGGGUGGUGAGUUCCAUCUAAAGCUAAAUAUUGGCGAGAGACCGAUAGCGAACAAGUACCGUGAGGGAAAGAUGAAAAGCACUUUGGAAAGAGAGUUAAACAGUACGUGAAAUUGUUGAAAGGGAAACGAUUGAAGUCAGUCGUGACUGAGAGGCUCAGCCGGUUCUGCCGGUGUAUUCCCCUCAGUCGGGUCAACAUCAGUUUUGUUCGGUGGAUAAGGGCAGCUGGAAGGUGGCACCUCCGGGUGUGUUAUAGCCAGCUGUCGCAUACAUCGAAUGAGACUGAGGAAUGCAGCUCGCCUUUAUG